AGGAAAUCAAACAACAAUAUUGGACAUGCGACGUGCACACAGUGAAUGCUCGGAAUUCCCGGCAGACAUCCAGAGACGCUUGGUUUGCCAGUUGCACUCUGCCAUGCCGUGCCGACGUAAUUGGCUGCAAAGUCGUUGAUGUUAUGUCACGAGCCAUGUUGAAGACGUCGACGUGAGCGGAGGAGAGAACAGCCUUUAAACGUCAAAGUUUGUGUGCACAUCUUUUGGCAAAGAGAGAUUCAUUCAAGUGAUGGACGUUGAGACGCCGAUGCUUUGCCGUCGUCCCUCGCCUCCAUGCGGCAUCUUCUCUCCUUCCGGAAUCAUCCUCGCACGGAGUGAGUGAGUGACCUGGAUCUGUCUCUUUGCAUUACGAUGCCCGCCCCGUUGGAAGAAGCAAUAGCAUGGCAGCAGAAUGAAACUGUAUUGCAUGCCCUCAUUUGUGUGCCUGAGUGUAAGUGCGUGUAAUUGAACCUGCUGCAAUGAUAAGGCAGCUGCCUUUUGGCACGUGUGUGUCUGUCUGUGGGUGUGUGUCUGUCUGUGUGU